AGAAAUUCCAUGCUGCAAGGUAAAGAAACAAAGAAAUAUCCCUAUUCUUCCAGCUCUUCAUUCUUUGCUGCCCAUUUCUCUAUUCCUUCAGUUUACACACCAGGCAAAUGGCAAUAAGUUCAAUGAAAUAACCAUAAGCUUCACUUGUGAAGCCCCAGUGUCCCAUUGGGACAUUUCAAGAGAGAGAGAGGUGGGGAAUGGGCCACAAGGCAACCGAAUCACAGAACCUCGGGUAAAGGUAUGCAGGUUGUGUCGU
rnacentral:misc_RNA from 1 species